CGUACUUGUACUGAUUGAGAUUUUAACACGAAGUGAGUGGCGAACGGGUGAGUAACACGUGGGUAACCUGCCCAGAAGUAGGGGAUAACACCUGGAAACAGAUGCUAAUACCGUAUAACAGAGAAAACCGCAUGGUUUUCUUUUAAAAGAUGGCUCUGCUAUCACUUCUGGAUGGACCCGCGGCGUAUUAGCUAGUUGGUGAGGUAAAGGCUCACCAAGGCAGUGAUACGUAGCCGACCUGAGAGGGUAAUCGGCCACAUUGGGACUGAGACACGGCCCAGACUCCUACGGGAGGCAGCAGUAGGGAAUCUUCCACAAUGGACGCAAGUCUGAUGGAGCAACGCCGCGUGAGUGAAGAAGGGUUUCGGCUCGUAAAGCUCUGUUGUUAAAGAAGAACGUGGGUAAGAGUAACUGUUUACCCAGUGACGGUAUUUAACCAGAAAGCCACGGCUAACUACGUGCCAGCAGCCGCGGUAAUACGUAGGUGGCAAGCGUUAUCCGGAUUUAUUGGGCGUAAAGCGAGCGCAGGCGGUCUUUUAAGUCUAAUGUGAAAGCCUUCGGCUCAACCGAAGAAGUGCAUUGGAAACUGGGAGACUUGAGUGCAGAAGAGGACAGUGGAACUCCAUGUGUAGCGGUGAAAUGCGUAGAUAUAUGGAAGAACACCAGUGGCGAAGGCGGCUGUCUGGUCUGCAACUGACGCUAAGGCUCGAAAGCAUGGGUAGCGAACAGGAUUAGAUACCCUGGUAGUCCAUGCCGUAAACGAUGAUUACUAAGUGUUGGGAGGGUUUCCGGCCCUUCAGUGCUGCAGCUAACGCAUUAAGUAAUCCGCCUGGGGGAGUACG
rnacentral:rRNA from 1 species